CAAAGAAUAGUUUAAUUAGAAUUCUAGCUUUGGGAGUUAGUGGUGGGAGUUAAAACCUCUUUUCUUUGA
rnacentral:tRNA from 1 species